CAGCCUGCCAGUGACUUUUGUUCAACGGCCGCGGUAUCCUAACCGUGCGAAGGUAGCGUAAUCACUUGUUCUUUAAAUAAGGACUAGUAUGAAUGGCAUCACGAAGGUUUUACUGUCUCCUUUUUCUAAUCAAUGAAACUAAUCUCCCCGUGAAGAAGCGGGGAUAAAUUUAUAAGACGAGAAGACCCUAUGGAGCUUUAAAUUAUUUAUCACUUGCUUAAUCCAUUGUAUUUUCAGAAUUAUACCACUUAUUCUAGCUUUCUAAUAGAAAUUUUAGGUUGGGGUGACCGCGGAGUAAAAAAUAACCUCCACAAUGAAAGGAUAUUUUCCUGAACAAAAAGCUACAACUUUAUGUACCAAAAAAUUGACAUAAAUUGACCCAAUAUUUUGAUCAACGAACCAAGUUACCCUAGGGAUAACAGCGCAAUCUACUUCAAGAGCUCCUAUCGACAAGUAGGUUUACGACCUCGAUGUUGGAUCAGGGUGUCCCAGUGGUGCAGCCGCUACUAAAGGUUCGUUUGUUCAACGAUUAAAACCCUACGUGAUC
rnacentral:rRNA from 1 species